rnacentral:snRNA from 1 species
GGAUGUGAGGGCGACCUGCCUGCGACAUCUGUCACCCCGUGAUCGCCAGGGUUGAUUCGGCUGACCUGGCUGGCUGGGCGGAUGUCCCCUUCCUCCCUCACGGCUCCCCGUGUGUCCCUCCCGGAGCGGCGCGCGCGGGUCGGAGAGGACGGCCACCCCCAUGGAGGAGGACCAUUCUUUCUUGGUCAAGGGUGUGCGAGUAGCUGUGCUUCACUGUUGGACCCUUCAAGACAAGCUCUAGGAAUCCCCGGUCAUGAGGUACAAAUCUGGGUAAAACAGUGUUU